AAUUAAAUUAAGAAGAGAAGGGAGGCAAAACCAAGACGGAGACCAAUCUCCAUCAGAUUGCAUUAAUUUGGAGGCUCAACGAAAAGGGAAAGGUCAUGUCUUAGAGUGAUUGUUCGGUUAUUUGAGGCAAGUGACUUUCUAAACCCUUGUUUAGCAUAUGAAAUUCGUGUAUUUUCUUGUGGUAAAUGUUUGGAAGUAAUGGGAAUUGUGAUGGGUUGACUUGUUCAUGUUGAGUAUAUUUAAUAAUGAAAAAUUGUAAUGUGAUAUAUUGUUAUUGCAUGAUGUUUGGGAAUAAUUUGAAGGUUUAUGCUUAUUUGUUGAUGUUGUAUCAUGGUUGUAUUGUUGUUAAUUGUGCCUUUAUAUGAAAAUGGUCAUCUCCUCAUUAUUUAUGUGAACAUGUCAUUUGCAUUAUUCUAAGACAUGAUUGUGACAAGUGUUAUGUGCAUUGAGAAAUAAUAACAAAUUAAAGAGGCUAUACCAUUUCGAGGGAUGUAGCGCGCUCUGCAAUUUAUACUAAAUUUAGAGGGACAUAUCGCACGCCACGAUGGAUUCUAUAUAUCGAUGGAAGUAUUGCACGACGUGAUGGUUACUAUUAUCGAGGGUCGUAUCACACGCCACAAUGAAUGCAUGGAAAGAUAUGUCCCCUAUGGGUUCUGGACUGAGAGACAGCAGGUAAUUAAUCUGGACCAAUGUGAUACUUUUUCUUCUCCUUGUAGGAGACUUCUUGUGGAGUUUUGUGAGAUAAUUGCUUGUCAUUUCAAUGAACCUUCUUUCUCCUUAAUUAUAAUCUUGUUCUAUUUUAGAAAUAAUUUCAUUUAACACAUGUGUGUUAUUUUGAAUCAAUUGUAAUAUUUUAGAGGCUUGUACACAUGACAACAAUA